rnacentral:rRNA from 1 species
AUGGCUUCAUCUCUGAAGGUGGCCGCUGUCGUCGCGGUUUGCAUCCUGCUUGUCCUGAACAUGGGCCAGCCGGCGGCAGCCACAGAAUGUGAAGAUUGUCUAGGCGCCUGUGUUGGCAUCUGCAUCGCCUACGCUGAAACAUCAUGCACCGGCAUAUGCACCGCCAUAACUCCUGCAUGUCAGGCAUGUAAGGACGCGGCCUUAAUUGAGUGCGGUGCAACAUGCUAUGGCGGUUGUACCCUCCUCUGCUAA